AGUAGUGCGCAAUCGCAUCACUGCAUCAGUGGUGUUUACGUGCGAUGUAAACAGUCGGUUGUUGUGGUAGGAAAUGUGUUGAAAUUUGUUGUACAAAAUGUCAAACAUUUUUAAACGAUUUGAGACAUUGAGAUGUAUGGUUCGAGUAUGUGAUACAAGGUUUGCGUCAUCAGAUACUAAAUCGGGCCACCCAAAAAGAGUUCCGUGGCAGAAAAAGGAAGGUGAAUGGAGAAGUAAAUUGACAGCAUUUGCACCGGAUGAGGGGAAGGCUAUAGGCCCAGACAUCAUAAAUUUCUUUCGUGGCCCUCUUUCAUUCAAGCAGUGGUUCGCCAAUGUUAAAGAAGGUCACGCAGAUCACCUCCAGCGUUUUAUCCCAGAGAGACACGAUAUACUAGGAUGUGAUUUAGCCACAGCACAUUUCAUCGUGCAUAGAGGCGGUUCUGUAAAAUUCUGUGACCAUUCGGAGUGGAUUAAGAAAGAUGAAAACGACGAGUAUGAUUUGCCUAACAAGUAUGUACCUAGUAUGUAUUUGGAAGCAGUUGACGCUUCCAACACGGAACUGAGAUAUGAAGGUCUCCGAAAUUUUGUGAAUCUUAAACGAUUGAAGUGGCUUAAUUUAAGUAAUUGUGCACACAUUGAUGAUUGGUGCCUCGACAAAAUAAGUGGCGAAUUAAGGACGCUGGAAUAUUUGGACAUAAGUGACUGUAAACAAGUAACCUAUCGUGGCUUAUCUGCCUUUUACCGGUUUGAAAAUUUGAAACGUUUGAAAGUUAAUAAUAUUGCUUCGUCGAGAGAAUUUGAGUUCAUGUGCCUUAUGUUGGAAGACAUAUUUCCUAAUCUGGUUAUCGACGGAGUCAAAUACAUUGAUGUUAAGUCUCCAUAAACUUUACAAUGAGGAAAUCGACGUGUAGUUAAUUAAUACUUAAGUUUGUAAUUUAUUCAUAUUUUUUAAUUGUUGCUAACUACCCUUUCGGUAUCGUGGAGUUUGCAGAAAGCAACUGAUAGCGACAUUCUGCAAUCCUGGUGCGCCUAAGCAGCACGUACGCGAACUUCUAGGAAAGUACAUGGGUAUUGGAAGUUGUAGGACGUCGAUAUACAGUCAUAGUGUUCGAGUAAAACGUAAGAGAUUUAAUCCACUGCUCAUACGAGACAGUGAAAAAAAUAAAGAAAAUGGGACUGCACUCACAUGAGGGAACCAGCGGUAAACUGUGGAGAAGACGAAGGAGACGGCCUGAUUUAUCCCAUGAGCUGGAUGAUUCACAUCAACAAGCCACUUGGGUAGCUUCUUACAGAGUUUUCAGUCCAUUAAGCAACGGU
rnacentral:misc_RNA from 1 species